GUCAAUGAUGAUUAUGUUUAUCCAUUCGCUGAGUACGCUGCACUGACCUUCUUCCCAGUCUCAGUUCCUGUUCUGGGAACUUGUGGCUGAGUAGGCUCCAAAUGCCCUGCUGUCUGCAGUGUUCUGGAGGGCUUUUGAAAACAUGUAGAUUUAGAAUUUCUGAGGAGUUGUGCAAUUUCAUUUC